CCUAACACAUGCAAGUCGAACGGCAGCACAGAGGAGCUUGCUCCUUGGGUGGCGAGUGGCGGACGGGUGAGGAAUACAUCGGAAUCUACUCUGUCGUGGGGGAUAACGUAGGGAAACUUACGCUAAUACCGCAUACGACCUACGGGUGAAAGCAGGGGAUCUUCGGACCUUGCGCGAUUGAAUGAGCCGAUGUCGGAUUAGCUAGUUGGCGGGGUAAAGGCCCACCAAGGCGACGAUCCGUAGCUGGUCUGAGAGGAUGAUCAGCCACACUGGAACUGAGACACGGUCCAGACUCCUACGGGAGGCAGCAGUGGGGAAUAUUGGACAAUGGGCGCAAGCCUGAUCCAGCCAUACCGCGUGGGUGAAGAAGGCCUUCGGGUUGUAAAGCCCUUUUGUUGGGAAAGAAAUCCAACUGGUUAAUACCCGGUUGGGAUGACGGUACCCAAAGAAUAAGCACCGGCUAACUUCGUGCCAGCAGCCGCGGUAAUACGAAGGGUGCAAGCGUUACUCGGAAUUACUGGGCGUAAAGCGUGCGUAGGUGGUUAUUUAAGUCCGUUGUGAAAGCCCUGGGCUCAACCUGGGAACUGCAGUGGAUACUGGAUGACUAGAAUGUGGUAGAGGGUAGCGGAAUUCCUGGUGUAGCAGUGAAAUGCGUAGAGAUCAGGAGGAACAUCCAUGGCGAAGGCAGCUACCUGGACCAACAUUGACACUGAGGCACGAAAG
rnacentral:rRNA from 1 species